UGGCAAGGAGGAUAUUCAGUAAAUGAAACUACGUGAUUAAUUUAUACGCUAUUCUGAGCCAGUU